AUGAGCUUCCAGGAGGACAGGGUGGUGGAUUUCAGAUAUCUGCAGGAUAACCUUACAUAUCAGCAGCAAUGCAGAAGUGAACUGCUGGCUGAUAUGAAGGCACAGAUGGCAAAGAAAGAUGCAGAGUUUGAGAAGCUUAAGCAGAAUUAUGAAGUGCUACUGAACCUGACAAGAGCACAAGCAACAGUCAUCCAGAACUUGAAGUUGAAGCAUAUUAAAGACAAGCAAUUGUUUAGUGAAGAUAAGAUGAACUUGGAGUUGAAGAAUGCAGAGCUCACAAAGUCUGAGGAGAAGCUCACCCAAGAGAAGCUAGAGUUGAAGCUUCAGAUUGCUGAGCUGAUGAAGGCAGAGGAGAAGCUGAAGGAGAAGAUCAAGGGGAUCCAGGCCAUCUUAGAGAAGUGA
rnacentral:rRNA from 1 species